AAUCAACGCUGGCGGCGUGCCUCAGACAUGCAAGUCGAACGAUUAAAGCUCUCUUCGGAGAGUGUAUAGAGUGGCGCACGGGUGAGUAACACGUAAGUAAUCUACCCUCGAGUGGGGAAUAACAACCGGAAACGGUUGCUAAUACCGCAUAAUGCAGCGGCACCGCAAGGUGACAGUUGUUAAAGAUUUAUCGCUUGAGGAGGAGCUUGCGGCAGAUUAGCUAGUUGGUAGGGUAACGGCUUACCAAGGCUACGAUCUGUAACCGGUCUAAGAGGACGGUCGGUCACACUGACACUGAAUAACGGGUCAGACUCCUACGGGAGGCAGCAGUCGGGAAUUUUGGGCAAUGGGCGAAAAGCCUGACCCAGCAACGCCGCGUGAAGGAUGAAGUAUUUCGGUAUGUAAACUUCGAAAGAAUAGGAAGAAUUAAU
rnacentral:rRNA from 1 species